GCAGGCAUAGUACAUCGGUAGUAUAUCAGCUUCCCAAGCUGAGGAGGCGGGUUCGAUUCCCGUUGCCUGCU
rnacentral:tRNA from 2 species